rnacentral:rRNA from 1 species
GUAGGUGAACCUGCGGAAGGAUCAUUAUCGAGCGAAUCCAAAACGAACGAAAAAGUCUCCCAACGUGCAUACCUUCCAUUUGCAUGUUGUUGUGAGCCACAUGGAAACUCGUACACACGUGGUGGCGGCCGUCUGCUGUGCUUUUUUUAGGCAGACAAUGGCUUACGAGUGGCCGUGUGCUUGUUGAACAACGGUGACCAAUUUGGCGUCUACGCCGUAUCUAGCUUCUGCCUGGACCGUCAGUUGCGAUGAAAGAUGCGGAGAAAGUUCCUUUGUUUUGGCUGCUAAUCAUCAUUGAUGAGCAGCAGCUUAAGGCAGAGUCGAGCAGACUUAAUGAGCCACGCUAGGUGGCCGCCAAAACCCAAAACACAACCGGUCUAUUUGACAUUGUUAUUUCAUUGUAUGUGUUGAAAAUGUACAAAUCUUGGCGGUGGAUCACUCGGUUCGUGGAUCGAUGAAGAACGCAGCCAGCUGCGAUAAAUAGUGCGAAUUGCAGACACAUUGAGCACUAAGAAUUCGAACGCACAUUGCGCUAUCGGGUUCAUUCCCGAUGGCACGUCUGGCUGAGGGUCGAAUUACGGUGAACUGUCUUCACGGUUUUUCUGGACUGUGAAGCAUUCGGCAAGCAAUUGCUGUUGUGUUGUUGGUGAUUCUAUCAUGGACAAUAUGACGAGCGGUUCCUUGCUUAGUGAUGACAAAAGAAGACGUCAACACCGAAUCUACUAUACUACUAAUACUAGUAUAUAGGUGAGGUGCUUUUGGUGGUCACAAAAGUGACAAGUAUGCCAUUUCAUAGGGGCAACAACCAGCAUACGUGAUAAGUUGGCUGGUUGAUGAAACGGCAACGGAAUGACGGACGUCUAUGUGAUCAAAAAUGAUACUAUUUGACCUCAGCUCAGUCGUGAUUACCCGCUGAAUUUAAGCAUAUAAUUAAGCGGAGGAAAAGAAACUAAC